rnacentral:rRNA from 1 species
GACGAACGCUGGCGGCGUGCUUAACACAUGCAAGUCGAACGGUGAAGCGCCUUCCUUUUUGGUGGGUGUGGAUGAGUGGCGAACGGGUGAGUAACACGUGAGUAACCUGCCCCCUUCUUCUGGAUAACCGCAUGAAAGUGUGGCUAAUACGGGAUAUUCUGGGUCUGUCGCAUGAUGGGUCUGGGAAAGAUAUUGUUUCGGUGGGGGAUGGGCUCGCGGCCUAUCAGCUUGUUGGUGGGGUGAUGGCCUACCAAGGCGGUGACGGGUAGCCGGCCUGAGAGGGUGGACUGUCACACUGGGACUGAUACACGGACAAGACUCCUACGGGAGGCAGCAGUGGGGAAUAGUGCACAAUGGGCGCAAGCCUGAUGCAGCGACGCCGCGUGAGGGAUGGAGGCCUUCGGGUUGUGAACCUCUUUCGCCAGUGAAGCAGGCCUGCCUCGUUUGUGGGUGGGUUGACGGUAGCUGGAUAAGAAGCGCCGGCUAACUACGUG